ACUGAAUCAGGUCGGCUUUGUGCAUUUAUUACUAAAGUAAAAAAAGGAAGUUUAGCUGAUACUGUAGGACAUCUUAGACCAGGUGAUGAAGUAUUAGAAUGGAAUGGAAGACUACUGCAAGGAGCCACAUUUGAGGAAGUGUACAACAUCAUUCUAGAAUCCAAACCUGAACCACAAGUAGAACUUGUAGUUUCAAGGCCUAUUGGAGAUAUACCGCGAAUACCUGAUAGCACACAUGCACAACUGGAGUCCAGUCUUCCUGGCCUAGCGUGGUGGCUCACGCGUGUAAUCCCAGCACUUUGGGAGGCCGAGGCGGGCGGAUCACGAGGUCAGGAGAUCGAGACCAUCCUGGCUAACACGGUGAAACCCCGUCUCUACUAAAAAAAAAAAAAAAUACAAAAAAUUAUCCGGACGUGGUGGCAGGCGCCUGUAGUCCCAGCUACUUGGGAGGCUGAGGCAGGAGAAUGGCGUGAACCCGGGAGGCGGAGCUUGCAGUGAGCCGAGAUCACGCCACCGCACUCCAGCCUGGGCCACAGAAUGAGAUUCUGUCUC
rnacentral:lncRNA from 1 species